AUCUGCAGCCAGCUCCCUGGACCAUGAUCUUGUCAGAUCUCUGAAGUUAAGCAAGGUGUGGCCUGGUUGGGAAAACCUAAGGGCUGCAGGAA
rnacentral:rRNA from 1 species